UACAGAGGGUGCGAGCGUUGUCCGGAAUCACUGGGCGUAAAGGGCGCGUAGGCGGCUUGAUAAGGUUGCGGUGAAAGCCCGGGGCUCAACCCCGGGUCGGCCGUGGCAACUGUCGAGCUGGAGCACUGUAGAGGCAGGUGGAAUUCCGGGUGUAGCGGUGGAAUGCGCAGAUAUCAGGAGGAACACCUAUAGCGAAGGCAGCUUGCUGGGACGUUACUGACGCUAAGGCGCGAAAGCGUGGGGAGCAAACAGG
rnacentral:rRNA from 1 species